AAAAUUUGUAAUUUUAACUAACAUUUGCCACUGAAACUACUGGGCCAAGUUCAUUAUAGAUAGUGAUAAUUGUAAGCAGUAAGAAUGUUCAUUUAAGUAAGAUGUACAAACACAUCACCGUCACCAAAACACAAUUUGUAAUGAAUCCAUCUGCUUCCUUUGUUUAAUAUUCACAUAGACCAAGGUGAACAACACAGGCUCUUUAGAGCCUCUAGUUAUGUAUGUCUUAUCAGAUGAAAAAUAUAAACACC
rnacentral:lncRNA from 1 species